GUAGGUGGCAAGCGUUGUCCGGAAUUAUUGGGCGUAAAGCGCGCGCAGGGCGGUCCUUUAAGUCUGAUGUGAAAGCCCACGGCUCAACCGUGGAGGGUCAUUGGAAACUGGGGGACUUGAGUACAGAAGAGGAAAGCGGAAUUCCAAGUGUAGCGGUGAAAUGCGUAGAGAUUUGGAGGAACACCAGUGGCGAAGGCGGCUUUCUGGUCUGUAACUGACGCUGAGGCGCGAAAGCGUGGGGAGCAAACAGGAUUAGAUACCCUGGUAGUCCACGCCGUAAACGAUGAGUGCUAAGUGUUAGGGGGUUUCCGCCCCUUAGUGCUGCAGCUAACGCAUUAAGCACUCCGCCUGGGGAGUACGGCCGCAAGUCUG
rnacentral:rRNA from 1 species